rnacentral:rRNA from 1 species
CCUACGGGAGGCAGCAGUGAGGAAUAUUGGUCAAUGGGCGGGAGCCUGAACCAGCCAAGCCGCGUGAAGGAAGAAGGCGCCAAGCGUCGUAAACUUCUUUUCUCAGGGACGAAGCAAGUGACGGUACCUGAGGAAUAAGCCACGGCUAACUACGUGCCAGCAGCCGCGGUAAUACGUAGGUGGCAAGCGUUAUCCGGAUUUACUGGGUGUAAAGGGCGUGUAGGCGGGAAAGCAAGUCAGAUGUGAAAACCAUGGGCUCAACCUGUGGCCUGCAUUUGAAACUGUUUUUCUUGAGUACUGGAGAGGCAGACGGAAUUCCUAGUGUAGCGGUGAAAUGCGUAGAUAUUAGGAGGAACACCAGUGGCGAAGGCGGUCUGCUGGACAGCAACUGACGCUGAGGCGCGAAAGCGUGGGGAGCAAACAGGAUUAGAUACCCUUGUAGUC